GCUUGUCAUUGAAACAUGAAUAAUUAGCGUAAAAGAAAGCAUAUCCUGCAAUAUAAGCAUCACUCUUAUCGUCAUAUUUGGACCUGAACUCCUCAACUUGUCCUUCAACGACAGGGAAUUUAAGGUCGAAAGUUGUAAGGACGGGCUUGAACCCUUCGUCUGUGGUAUUUUUAGGUUCGUUAAAAGGGGUUGGAGAGACUUCGAGUAGAAGCACGGAUGGCCCGUAGAAAAGUGGAAGAGGGUUUUCUUUAAAGAGCAAGUUAGCUAAGGAGGACUCAGUAGCUUUGUAUAAAUGAGUAUAGUUAUGAUAUUCAUGGAUUUGGUAAAACAAUUGGUAUAUAUGAGACAGAUCAGAUUUCGUAGCAAGACGAACUCGUGUGUAUAUCUUUCCAGUGAUGGUAA